AUGAAGGAAGGAAGAACACCAACAUAGAAUAUCAACACCUACUGAUGGGUGUUUGGGCUUUACCGGGUCAAGCUAAUGAUGUUAAAGAGGAGGCAACCCAGUUUCUAACCCCGUUUCUGUUUUUUUUUGUUUCUUUUCUUUUAUUUGAUUUUAUUUGAUUUUAUUUGAUUUUAUUUGAUUUUAUUUGAUUUUAUUUUUUUUAGGUUAAAUGCUGCUUCUGAUGGAAUUGAUGAUAGCAUCUACUGAUGGAUGCUUCUGGAACAUCUAUUGAUGGAUGUUAGGUGAUUUGGCAUCUACUGAUGGAUGCCAAUGUAGAUAAUAAAGAUUAACAUCUACUAAUGGAUGCUAUAUGGUUAGACAUCUACUAAUGGAUGUCACUGACAACAUUUAAUGAUGAAUGCGACUGGGAUAGCAUCUACUGAGGGAUGCUAGAAGAUUUAGGUAUCUACUGAAGGAUACUGGAAGG
rnacentral:lncRNA from 1 species